CCUACGGGUGGCAGCAGUGAGGAAUAUUGGUCAAUGGACGCAAGUCUGAACCAGCCAUGCCGCGUGCAGGAAGACGGCUCUAUGAGUUGUAAACUGCUUUUGUACGAGGGUAAAUCCCGAUACGUGUAUCGGAUUGAAAGUAUCGUACGAAUAAGGAUCGGCCAACUCCGUGCCAGCAGCCGCGGUAAUACGGAGGAUUCAAGCGUUAUCCGGAUUUAGUGGGUUUAAGGGGCGCGUAGGCGGUUCGAGAAGUUAGAGGUGAAAGCCCGGGGCCCAACUCCGGCACUGCCUCUGAUACUGUCGGGCUAGAGUGUAGUAGCGGUAGGCGGAAUGUAUGGUGUAGCGGUGAAAUGCAUAGAGAUCAUACAGAACACCGGUGGCGAAGGCAGCUUGCCAAACUACGACUGACGUUGAGGCACGAAAGCGUGGGGAGCAAACAGGAUUAGAUACCCUUGUAGUC
rnacentral:rRNA from 1 species